AUAAAGUUCAGAAAAAUGUUUAACCUAAACACUCAAAUGACACACACAAAUACACAAUCUCAUUUCCUUCCUUCAACACACAGUCUCGUCUUCUACGAUAAACACCACAACACAAACCUUCUCAAGUCCAGCUCUCUCUCUAUCUUCCCAUUAAUUCUUCUUCUCUUCCCCGGCACAACAAUCCUGCUUCAGAUCUUCGAAUUUUGUUACCGUAGUCAUGAUGCAAACACUCCUCCAAAUCUCAGAUCUGGCAUCGUUUACUCGGAUUCACACACUCCAACCAUAUAAUCAUCUGAAUCUCCUUCGUCUCCAAUUCGUCAGAUCCUCCUCCUUCAAGAAAUCUCCUCUUUAUAGCCUCUAUUUUGCGUUCUAGAUCCGCACUACUUCAAUCUUCCCAUAGAUCGAUCUCCUCCUCAAAUACACGAUUCAACCAAUCUUAUCUGGUGACUUCUCCAAACAACUGAUUUUGUAGGUUUAUUAUAAGAUCUAUGCAAGAAGGGUUUCUCAGCUGGGCUCAUUUAAGAGAAUAACGAGACAAGAGGAAGAACAAAACAAGAGUUUUGUCGAAGAACAAUUAACAGCCAAGGGUUUUGUCUCUGAUUUCAUCUCGUUGACCAGUGAAGAAUAUCAAGGUAGAGAAGAAAAUUUGCUUGGAUUUUAGAAAACAAUCGUGAGUUUCAGUUUCAUCAUAUUAGUCCAAAUGCACCCACCAAUUGUUUGCUUUUAUUCCUCACUAACAAUUUCCUUGUUCAAAGGGAGGCUGAGAACUGUUGCUGCUUGCAAGUUAUCUUUCGGAGUUAGGAAUGCUGUAAGGAGGUUUGUGAGGAAGUGAAUCAAGCGAGAGAGACAAGGCAAACUGAGUUGAAGCAAGGAGUCGAGAUAUGACAACAUAUACUGAAACAAUCUUCGGAAGCACCUCGAGCUCAACAACAAACUAGAAGAUGAGCUAAAAAUGUUUAUGAUUUUUCUCAUUUCCAUAGUUUUCAAUUUCCUUUCGACAUCUAUACAAAAAUUAUUGUACUUGUAAAUUUUUAUAACUAAUAAUAAUUAUUCUUUUUUCCUUGUAAAUUAAAAUUGGGGUUUUGGAAUUUAAAAUUAGGUACUGGAAUAAAAAUAAAAAAUUGCAUAUUACAAAUGAAAGUUUUACAUUUAUAAAAUGCUACAGUAAUAACAAAACAAAUACGUUAUUAUAGAAUAUUUAAUUAAAGACGAGUAAACAUUAUUGUAUAUGACAGUACGAUAGCGGAAUAAAAAAAAAGCUAUCUAAAGUGUGUGACCUAUAAUGACGGGCGCAGAUAUAGCGUUUUGACAAACGCUAUGGUAUUGAUAGAUAGCGUUAUUUAGAUGCUAUUAAAACUCAAUAUUCUUGUAGUGACUCUGACUUUGCUUUCUCUGUUAAUAUGAUUUGCAGAUGGGUUCAUAAUCACCAGUGUACGAAGAUUAUACCGAUGAUGAUUUAAACGAUGAAGAAGAACUUUUGACACCGACUUCUAAAGCAAUGGGCAAAAGGAAACAAACUCAUGGAAGUGAAUCCGGUGGUGGUACUACUACUGAGAAAAACAAGACACCAAGGACACUAGCACCAAGGUUUGGUGUGUGGACUCAUUUCACAAGAUUAUCAGGCAGCCGUAACAUAUGUAAGUGUAACCAUUGUGGAAAGGGAUUAGGAUGUUCAACCAAAUCAGGGAAAAAGAACUUGUGGAAUCAUCUCAAAAUAUGUAAGGUACACAAGGCAUGGAAAGAAGAUCAAAAUGCUAUAGGAGGACAGCAGGUGAUUAAUAAGGAAGAAAUCUACAAAAUGCAAAAGUCCCUGAUUAUGUUUUCAGAGAAGCACUUAAUUAAAUGUUGGUGAUAGGACAGUUGCCAUUGUCUUUUGUAGAAGGAGUGACAUUAAAAUUCUUUUGCAACAAGGUAAACUUGUAUAAGCUGCAUUCAAGAAGGACAACAACAAGAGACAUUGUGAAAAUGUAUGUUGAGAGGAAGGCUACUCUUCAACAAUGCUU